rnacentral:rRNA from 1 species
UACGUAGGGUGCAAGCGUUGUCCGGAAUUAUUGGGCGUAAAGAGCUCGUAGGCGGUUUGUCGCGUCUGCUGUGAAAACGCGAGGCUCAACCUCGCGCCUGCAGUGGGUACGGGCAGACUAGAGUGCGGUAGGGGAGAUUGGAAUUCCUGGUGUAGCGGUGAAAUGCGCAGAUAUCAGGAGGAACACCGGUGGCGAAGGCGGGUCUCUGGGCCGUAACUGACGCUGAGGAGCGAAAGCGUGGGGGAGCGAACAGG